rnacentral:rRNA from 1 species
CACUCCUACGGGAGGCAGCAGUGGGGAAUUUUACGCAAUGGGGGAAACCCUGACGUAGCGACACCGCGUGAGCGAAGAAGCCCUUUGGGGUGUAAAGCUCUGUCAGCUGGAACGAAAACAAUGACGGUACCAGCAGAGGAAGCAUCGGCUAACUACGUGCCAGCAGCCGCGGUAAGACGUAGGAUGCGAGCGUUGUCCGGAUUUAUUGGGCGUAAAGAGUUCGUAGGUGGUUUGUUAAGUUUGGUGUUAAAGAUCGGGGCUCAACCCUGGGACUGCACUGAAUACUGGCAGACUCGAGUGUGGUAGAGGCUAGUGGAAUUCCCGGUGUAGCGGUGAAAUGCGUAGAUAUUGGGAAGAACACCGGUGGCGUAGGCGACUAGCUGGGCCAUAACUGACGCUGAGGAACGAAAGCCAGGGGAGCGAAUGGGAUUAGAAACCCGGGUAGUCCCAUG